rnacentral:misc_RNA from 1 species
CGCGAAUUUCCUUAAUGGCACCAGCCAACGCAAUACUUCCCGUCGCGCAGGCGCCUUCAACGUUAAAGAUGGGCGCACGGUCGGGGAAAAGCCCUUCAUGCACAAGCGGAAUGAAACUAACACUCCCGCGAGUCAUGGCCUGCCCCCAGUAACUCAUCAGGCAAUUUCCAAACCAGGCCGCAGACAAAUCUAGUCCGUUAUCCAUACCCGCGUCGCGCAAAGCUCCGAUGUAAGCUUCACGAACCAGAUCCUCAAAUCUGCUAUCUGGCCACGGUUGAAACGCGGUGCUGUAGGCACCCAGCACGUAGACAUUACUCGCCAUUCCCGUAACUCUCCCCGCCAAGCUGCAUGAUUUUCAUACGGCCCGCUGUUGUCCGCGCUCCCGAUGUGAGAACGAAU